GAAUCAACAAGCAAAUUUGCUCCUUUAAUGUCCCUGUGGAUUGUCUUUGUGCUGUGCAGAUAAUCCAAUCCAGAUAGAAUAUGGCGGGUGAAAUUGCGGACUAUAGAUUCGGUCAUGGCUCCACAAUGUUCACGGAAAUAUCUACUGAUUGAUCCAGGAUACACAUACUCCAAAUAUAUGUAAAAGUGAUCAUCAACUAUCUCAGUGCCGUAAUACUGCACAAUAUUUGGAUGCUUUAGAUGUUGAAGAAGUCUAAUUUCCUGC
rnacentral:misc_RNA from 1 species